CAGCGGCGAACGGGUGAGUAACACGUGGGUGACCUGCCCUGAAGACGGGGGAUAACCACCGGAAACGGUGGCUAAUACCCGAUGUGCUCAGCAAUUCGGUUUGUUGAGUAAAGCUCCGGUGCUUCAGGAUGGACCUGCGGCCUAUCAGCUAGUUGGUAGGGUAAUGGCCUACCAAGGCGAAGACGGGUAGGGGACGUGAGAGCGUGACCCCCCACACUGGCACUGAGAUACGGGCCAG
rnacentral:rRNA from 1 species